UACAUGAACCAGCUAUAAAUAACAUGCAUAAUAUGAACAAACCUCUUCUUCUUUUUUUAACCCCUAAACGGACGAAAAAGAAUCCACAAAAUUUGAGGAAAUUUCCAGAUCUCGCCUUAUCUAACUUCAUGUAGAGAGAUUAAGAAAAAAUUGAGGGUUAGUAGAGACUAAAUAAAAAAGAACCAAAACUUAGAUCUGGACACAAUCGGUAAGAACUCUAUGUAGGAUACUUAUGUAAGUAUACAUGGGAAGAAAUAGAAGAAGACACAGAUAAAUAAUCGGAAACCCAGGACUGAACUUACCAGAUUCAUUGGCGAAUACCAGAUUGGAUAGGAGGAGAACGAAUU